CUCCUCCAGGGACAGACUGUGCUUGUUCUGCUCACUGCAGGUUUUCAAUCCAUGUUGAUUAAACAACUAAACGACCUCCUCCCCGGCUUACCCAGGACGUCGCAGGAGGAGAGGGGCCCGAAGCGUGAGCUUGGAGACGUAUGGGCUGCUCUGGAGGCGGGAAAAUAUGCAGGGGACGGCUUCUCGCCUGGAGCCUCCAGAAGGAACGGGGCACUUCAGCUCAGAAGACCCAUCUUGGACCUGUGACCCCCAGAACUGCAGGAGAAUAAAUGAGCUCCUUUCUGAGCAGCCAGAAUAUUGUGGAGAAGCUACGCUGUCGCCUGGCCAUGCACCCCGGGGUGCCUGCAGUCCCUGCAGUCUCUGAACCCAGCCCCCGGGAACUGUGUGCCUUCGUGAGCGGGGCCACUACCCACAUGCUGCGCACCCUGCACCCCCGGCGGACCCGGCCCCCCAAAAGGAGGCCCAACCACAGGAGGUUUCUGCACAACCAGAUCUGCAGGUGAGGGGGGGUGGAAGAGGGGA
rnacentral:lncRNA from 1 species